GACGUAGGGUGCGAGCGUUGUCCGGAUUUAUUGGGCGUAAAGAGCUCGUAGGCGGCUCGUCGCGUCGACCGUGAAAACCCGCAGCUUAACUGCGGGCUUGCGGUUGAUACGGGCGGGCUAGAGUUCGGUAGGGGAGACUGGAAUUCCUGGUGUAGCGGUGAAAUGCGCAGAUAUCGAGAGGAACACCUGCGGCGAAGGCGGGUUGCUGGGCUGACACUGACGCUGAGGCGCGAAAGCUAGGGGAGCGAACGGG
rnacentral:rRNA from 1 species